AAAAAGAGUGUAAGUGGAUAAAAGGAAAACGAAAAAAUCUCCAGCCUAAAAAAAUCGAUACAUAACUAGCAUCUUGCUGCCCUACAGCAAAAACAAAAAUGGAUCCAAUGCCACACUGCAAGUAUAAUUACUUAAAACACCGGAUUAUGUAUAAAUUAACUAUUUAUUUGUUUUUUAAGGCUUGGUUUGCUCAUGACCUGGAAGGAAGCUUUUGCAC
rnacentral:lncRNA from 1 species